rnacentral:miRNA from 1 species
AGAAAGAAGUAAAAUGA